UACAGGGGGGGCAAGCGUUGUUCGGAAUUACUGGGCGUAAAGGGCUCGUAGGUGGCCAACUAAGUCAGACGUGAAAUCCCUCAGCUUAAACUGGGGAACUGCGUCUGAUACUGGAUGGCUUGAGUUUGGGAGAGGGAUGCGGAAUUCCAGGUGUAGCGGUGAAAUGCGUAGAUAUCUGGAGGAACACCGGUGGCGAAGGCGGCAAUCCUGGACCAAUCUGACACUGAGGAGCGAAAGCCAGGGGAGCAAACGGG
rnacentral:rRNA from 1 species